rnacentral:lncRNA from 1 species
AGACUUCGCUAGUUUGACCAAGCAUUUUAUACCUUGCCAGCGAAUUGGAUCACAAGAGGUUGCUCAUGAGUUUUUGCUUAGAUGUGUAGUAGGAGACUAGGAGCUCAAAAUGUCACGAAAAGCUAUCAGUAUUGUUCAUGGUGGUAGACGAAACUCUGGAUGCUAUAUUUGGAGAUGUUGAUAACAUUUCCCCAAGACUAGAUAUAUUAUCAACUCU